rnacentral:rRNA from 1 species
UACGAAGGGUGCAAACGUUGCUCGGAAUCAUUGGGCGUAAAGCGCACGUAGGCGGCGCAACAAGUCGGACGUGAAAUCCCUCGGCUCAACCGAGGACGUGCAUCCGAAACUGUUGUGCUCGAGUAUGGAAGAGGGUCGCGGAAUUCUCGGUGUAGAGGUGAAAUUCGUAGAUAUCGGGAGGAACACCAGUGGCGAAGGCGGCGACCUGGGCCAAUACUGACGCUGAGGUGCGAAAGCGUGGGGAGCGAACAGG